rnacentral:tRNA from 1 species
ACUAAUUUAAUAUAAUUUAAGUAUUGUUCACUGUUAAUGAUCGGGUGCCCUGUGGGCAGUUAGUG